UUUAUAUUAAUGCAAUUACUUAUAGUUUGGGAUUCACAUAUGCCAUUUUGCUAUUUGUUCUCUGUAUGUCCCAUAUCUUUUUUGUCCCUCUAUUCUACUCCUGCUUCUUUUGUGUUAAAUAGGAGUUUCCUAGUAUACCAUUUUCAUUCCUUUGCCAUUCCGUUUACUCUAUUUUACAGUUUAUUUUCUUAGAGGUUGCCCUUGGAGUUACAAUUAAUAUCUUAACAUAAAAAUCAAGUUCAGAUCAAUAUCAACUUAAUUUCAAAUCUUUGCUCUUAAUAGCUUCAUAACCUCCUCAUGCCUUUGCAUUGCUAUUGUCAUAGAGAUUACAUUUUAUACAUUGUAUGAACAUCAACACAGAUUUAUGUAUAUUGUUUAUAAAGUCUUUUAAGUUAGGAGAAAAGACAGAAAUAUAACAAAAUUCAUUUUUAUUGUCUUUUAUAUUUACCUAUGUGAUUGUUGUUGCAUGUAUUGGCAGAACAACCAGGGAAGGAGACCAUCAAUAACAACCCUGCUGGGAUCACAUGCAAUUUGGGGAGUUAGAAAUGCUAUAUGCAUAUAUUAAGCUACAUUCACUUAGGAGAAAUCAGAGGAUGAUGGAGCAGGCUUAAAAGAAUUCCUCAAGCCACACACAGACCUAUAAACAUAGGGCAAAAGCACCAGUGGCACAGGAGCUUAAACACAACUUCUGUGCAAACACUGACUGAACCAUAGGCUACUCUGACCCAGAGGCAAAUCCUAGAAAUCCAGGAUGAACAAUAAAAUCAGUAUCAUCCCUGGAAAUGUAGAAGAAUGUGUAUCUGCCCUAGGCUAUGUCCUUGAAGGAGCAAUCAGAGAAGCAUCCUCCAAGCUACUAGUGGCUGAAUGAGGUGGUGGAGGGGGGACUAGGAAAUAUGUAAAUUCACUGAACUAUGAGAGCCAUUUCCAAGCCACCCACAUAUCCAAUGGUAAAGGAUAAUAAAUCUAAUUGACUAAAGGGGGCUUAAGCACAACCUUUAACCAAUAAAUAACUUAUGUCAACCUAGAGUCAAAACCUAAGUAGCCAGGCUAAAAGAUAAAAAUAAGGGAAAAAUAUCUGAGCGGAGACACCAGAGUUACACGUGCUGGGGAAAAUAGACUUCACAGAAUUAGUUCAGCCAAGCCAUCAAACAAACACAUGACCAAGUAAACAACAACAACCUCCAGGGUGUGGGGGGUGGUUCAGUAUUCAGAGUUGCUAUAAUAUGUUAUCCAACAUGCCCAGCUUUCAAUAAAACAUUACAACACAUGCAACAACUACAUAGGUAAAUAUAAGACAAUAUAAAUGAAUUUUGUAAUAACUCUGUUUUUCUCCUACUUACUUGACUUUAUAAAGCAACAUGUAUAAAUUUGUGUUGAUGUUCAUACAAUGUAUAAAUAUGUGGUUAAGGGGAGGCUGGUAGCCUCCUCUUAAUUAUUGUCUACCAAGAUCUUCACUGUUUACAACAAUGCCUGUAGGCAUAGCUUUUUUUUUUUUUUUUCACCGUUUCCAAGUUAAGUCAGUACCCUCAAGCAGAGCUACAGUGUCCUUUAUCCUUAUAUCCUCCCUUUCCUGCUGGGAAGAAUCCCUGAACCACUGCACCAGAGCUGGUGCCAGGGACCUGCUUUUACCUGAGUGAUGCUCCUGCUCUGUGAGACAGUGCUAGGAAGGGGUGGCAGCUGCUGGUCCUCUUCGAUUCCCCAUUUUGGAAUAGAAACUAUAUUUGAGGAAAAAUGUUUCCAGAUUUGUUGGAAUAUAUAAAUUUAUAAAUUCAAGAAGUUUUAUGAAUUCCAAACAGGAUAAUCUCAAAGAAAAUCACCUCUAUGCACAUCUUAUCAAACUGCUGAAAAUGAAAAGUAAAGAAAAUUUUGAAGUAGUUAGAGGAAAAUAACUCAAUACUUCUAGGGGAACAAUAAUUUGAAUGACUGUGGUUUUCUUAUCACAAUGAAGGCCAGAAAACAAUGGAACAUCUUUGAAGUGUUGAAAGAAAAGAAACGCCAUCCAGCAAAAAUAUUCGUCAAAAAUGAAGACAAUAUGAAAAUACUAUCAGAUGAAGGAUAGCCAAGAUAAUAUGUUGCCAGUAGACAUGCUGUACAAGAAAUAUGAAAGGAAGCUCUUCAGACUAAAGGAAAAUGAUGCCAGUGGGAAACCUGAACGUCAGGAAUGGAGAAGCAAUAGAAAUUAUAAAUAUCUGGGGUUGCAGAGGAAAUAUUGGACAUUCAUGCCUGGUGGUGAGAGAAGGUGAAGGGAAAGACAGUUGGACUGGGACUAGAGAAGAUAAAACAUUAUUCAUCAAAGAGGAAGAAAAGGCCAAUGGACACAGGAGCAAGUACACCAUCUCACUGUAAACCAAAGAAAGGGAAAUUCCAACCACAAUGAGAAGGUACUUCUUGUCUCCGGGGUUGGCAAAGAGGAAAAUGAGUGGCAGGACCUGAUGUGUCAGGGAAGCAAGGGGAGAACUGGCUCCUGCGGCACUGCUGAUGGGAGUGGUAAUUGGGGUCCUGAUCUCACGGGUGACGUGGCCCUCACGUGAGCUGGAGCCGACGAGUGCAGACGUCCUUUUAAUCCUAGUCUUCAUUUGGUCCGGUUGCCUUCUAUCUCACAGAGGGCGAGAGGAUCCUUGGCCUGGGGGAAGGAGGAGGAGGUAACUGCCUGGAUCCCAGCAGUAGGGCACUGUGCCAUUUGGGAACAAAGGAAUAGUCUGCCUGGAAUGUGCAGG